ensembl:lncRNA
GAAGAAUUUUCCAUUCUACUCGUCCUGUACAAUGAUGAUUGUGAAACUGUAAAUCCUAUAGGCUCCAAGACUACAAUUCACAAACUGGGCCUAAUUUACUUUCAGAUCAGAUGUUUACCGCCUGAGCUGUUGUCUUCCUUGUCAGCAUGCUUUCUGUUGGCCGUGUACAAGUCAGAUGACGUCAAGACAUAUGGCAUGGACAUGGUUCUUCAAUGCAUUGUUAAUGAUUUGAAGGAUUUAGAACAAAAUGGAUUACAAGUUGAGACAGAACAAUUUCGUGGCACUGUAAAGUCUCUGGGCCAUAGCCCCAACAACAAUCGAUCAUGUCCCAAUCAGCCUGUAAGGAAUGAACAACCAACACCAACUGAGACAAUAGUGGAAAGCUGCAAGACGAGAACAACAAGCAACUCCACAUUUGAUAUACGAGAAAUACUUAGAAAAUCUGGAGGACCAGCGUUAAUAACAUCCUUAGAAAGGGACAGGCACCUAAGCCUCAAGGAGAGACGUCAGAUGGUGCGGUUGUUGGUUUCUCAUUUGAUGGAAAGAUUUGGGAAAAACCCAACAGCUGAGAUCAAAAAGGAGAUGGCUCUGGCGCUAACUUGCCAGUUUCCUUGUCUGAAAAAUAGUGAGGGACAUGGAUAUGAGGCAUGGUAUACACCUGGUCGUUAUCUUCACCCUGUAACUGGGUAUUUAGAAGAAAGACUGCCAGCCACAGUAAUCUCAGAAUUCCUCUUCUCGACCAAGUUUUCCACUGCCAGAGUCUGAGUUGUCUUUGACUGACAUUCACACAAUGAUUGAGUGGCUAAAGAACAACAGAAGCGCUCACAGUCAAGUGGAGGAGUUCAUGAAACGUACAGCACCCCCAUCGGGCUGCAUGGAUUCGAACUUCUGGAACAAAAACUAUUGAGGAAAUCAACAGAGAAUAUCCUAGACUUUGUGACAUUCCUGGAAUGAUAUCGCAGGACUUUAAAGUUAUAUUCCCUGACCAGGCGGACCGCCUUUAUGAAUUCUGGGCUCCUGUCAUCACUGACCGGAUUUUACUCUUUGCAAAGAAAGAACCCAAGGCUUCAGAUGUUCUUCCAGAAAAUCUGGAAACACUGGCAAUAGGUGUUCGUGCAGAAAUUGCCUUUAAAACCCUUCCUGCCAUCCUGCCAUCUUCACCAUACCGCACAAAUGGAAAAAUGGUGUGCCCAACAUACACAGAAAUGAAGCAGUCCUUCAUUGACAUUCAACCUGUUGGCACUAAUAUAGUGCAGUACUUGAACCACGAGGCAAGCCAGAAUCCACAGGUCCUGGUGCUUGGUGACAAGGAAGACUCUUCCCAAGUUUUUAUUAUUUUCAACGGGGAGGCGAUGGAACAGGAGACACUACUACAAGCAGUCGAUCUGUGUUUCAAACUUUUCUUUGUAUAUGACAUCAACUACCCAAAGCCCUCUGCUCCCAUUUGGGAGUUUUUGGAGCACACAGUCUUUAAUAUUCCAGGUGGAGUUCCUUCUGCACACUGCCUCCUCCUAAAAAACUUUGUAUUUAGUAAUCAGUAAAAAAAAAAAUUAUUU